UUUUUGCGUUAACGAUAGAAACGGCAUCCUUUUUUUGCUUCUUUCCAUUACGCAAAUGCAAAAAAAGAUAUAGUGUAUAGCGUGUAAAAAC
rnacentral:sRNA from 1 species